rnacentral:rRNA from 1 species
GAUGAACGCUGGCGGCGUGCCUAAUACAUGCAAGUCGAGCGAACAGACGAGGAGCUUGCUCCUCUGACGUUAGCGGCGGACGGGUGAGUAACACGUGGAUAACCUACCUAUAAGACUGGGAUAACUUCGGGAAACCGGAGCUAAUACCGGAUAAUAUAUUGAGCCGCAUGGUUCAAUAGUGAAAGACGGUUUUGCUGUCACUUAUAGAUGGAUCCGCGCCGCAUUAGCUAGUUGGUAAGGUAACGGCUUACCAAGGCAACGAUGCGUAGCCGACCUGAGAGGGUGAUCGGCCACACUGGAACUGAGACACGGUCCAGACUCCUACGGGAGGCAGCAGUAGGGAAUCUUCCGCAAUGGGCGAAAGCCUGACGGAGCAACGCCGCGUGAGUGAUGAAGGUCUUCGGAUCGUAAAACUCUGUUAUUAGGGAAGAACAAAUGUGUAAGUAACUAUGCGCGUCUUGACGGUACCUAAUCAGAAAGCCACGGCUAACUACGUG